rnacentral:lncRNA from 12 species
GGGGGGGGGGGGGGGGGGGGGGGGGGGGGGGGGGGGGGGGGGGGGGGGGGGGGGGGGGGGGGGGGGGGGGGGGGGCCCAGGUGUAUCCCAGGUGUCCCCAGGUGUAUCCCAGGUGUCCCCAGGUGUGGCCCAGGUGUAUCCCAGCUGUGCCCAGGUGUGUCCAGGUGUGCCCCAGGUGUGCCCGGGUGUAUCCCAGGUGUAUCCCAGGUGUGCCCAGGUGCACCCCAGGUGUCCCCCACCUGUGUCCCGCCGCCGCGCCGAGCUGACCACGCCGUAGGCGCCGGUGCCGAUGGUCUCGAUGAUCUCGUACUCGUCGCCCACCUCGAAGGUGACGUCGAGCGCCCGCGCCUUGAGCAGCGCCAGCGGCCCGGGGGCGUCCCGGGGGGCGGGGCCGUCCUCGGGGGCGGGGUCCGACAUCGCACCUGCCGCAGGUGUCGCGAUAUGACCGUGUCCCUAUCGCGAUAUGACCUGCCCCUGUCGCGAUACGACCCGCCCCUGUCGCGAUAUGACCUGCCCCUGUCGCGAUACGACCUGUCCCUGUUGCGAUAUGACCCGCCCCUAUCGCGAUAUGACCUUCCCCUAUCGCGAUAUGACCUGUCCCUGUCGCGAUACGACCUGUCCCUGUUGCGAUAUGACCUUCCCCUAUCGUGAUAUGACCUGCCCCUAUUGCGAUAUGACCUGCCCCUAUGGCGAUAGAGCCGUGUCCCUGUCGCGAUAUGACCCGUCCCUAUCGCGAUAUGACCUGCCCCUGUCGCGAUAUGACCCGUCUCUAUCGUGAUAUGACCUGCCCCUGUCGCGAUAUGACCUGCCCCUAUCGCGAUAUAACCAUGUCCCCAUGGCGAUAGAGCCGUGUCCCUGUCGCGAUAUGACCCGUCCCUAUCGCGAUAUGACCGUGUCCCCAUGGCGAUAUGACCUGUCCCUAUCGUGAUAUGACCGUGUCCCCAUGGCGAUAUGACCUGUCGGGGGGGGGGGGGGGGGGGGGGGGGGGGGGGGGGGGG